rnacentral:rRNA from 1 species
GCCCCAAAUUUAACUAUUUUACUUAUAAACCUGAAAAAAAUUUUUAAAUACAGUAGUAUUACAUAACAACCUCUCACAAACAAAACCGCAAGGGUCACCAACUCCGCCCAUCUUAGAAAAGAUAAUUACUUAUCCCUUUUGCAUCAUGGAGAAGCAACAAAAACGCAAAGAUCUCUGCACUCCCGAAUAAUUAUGAGCUACUAAACCCUAAAACUUAAUGUUUCAUAAUUAACAACUAGUCUUUAGUAGAAGUAACAAGCCUUCCAUAUAAUUUGAUAGCUGGUUUUUCACAAAAAGUAUCUUAGUACUGCCCUAUAUGAAAUUAUACUUCCAAAUUACUCUAUAGGUGUUAACCUUUUAAGGAUUAGCUCAAAAGGAACAAUUAGAAAUAACCCACACUUCUCAUCUUUUAAGUAGGCUUAAAAGCAGCCACCUGACAGCGUUCUAGCUAAUAACUAACCCACCCUAAUAUAAAAACCUAAUUCUAAUUAAAGUGGAAUCUAGUGCCAAACUCACCCACUAACAAACAGGCAUCCUAUUAGUAUUUAUAUAAACCACUAUUAAAAAUCUAAACAAAAUUAAUUCAUAAACAAUCCCACCCCAUACACAUAUAAAGCGAACUCGGCAAUAAAAUUCCCUGCCUGUUUACCAAAAACAUCGUCUUUUGAAGCAUUUUACAUAAAAGAUAAUGCCUGCCCAGUGAAAAUUUUUAAACGGCCGCGUUAGCGUGAGCGUGCUAAGGUAGCGUAAUAAAUAGCCUUUUAAUUGGAGGCCAGUGAAUGGCAAGACUAGGAAUACCUGUACCCUUUAUGAAAAAAAAACUUUUCAUCUGAGUGAAAAGACUCAGAUAGCAAAGGAAGACGAAAAGACCCCGCGGAACUUUACCUUUUCCAGCCUUAACUGCCCAUAAACACAAAAGACAAAAGGUUUGAUUGGGGCAAUCUCGGAACAACCAAGCUUCCGAUUUCUCCUUAAACAAAUAUUUAUAACUCGAUAAGGACAAAAAAGAAGUUACCCCGGGGAUAACAGCGUAAUCCAGCUCAAGAGUACACAUCGAAAGCUGGGUUUGCGACCUCGAUGUUGGCUUAAGGAUAUCCACAUCAGUGCAACCGCUAUGAUAGGAUAGUCUGUUCGACUAUUAUACCCUUACACGAGCUGAGUUAAGACCGGCGCAAGCUAGGUUGGUUUCUAUCUCCUAUGCACUUAAUAACCUUCCUGAUUGUACGAAAGGACCCCAAGAGGUGCACCAAAUAACAAGCAUUUUUUAAAAAUCAAACCCCCUACAAUAGACAAUUUUCUAUCCCCA